rnacentral:rRNA from 1 species
AGAGUUUGAUCCUGGCUCAGGACGAACGCUGGCGGCGUGCUUAACACAUGCAAGUCGAACGGAGAGAGAUGGGAGCUCGCUCCUAUUGAUCUUAGUGGCGAACGGGUGAGUAACGCGUAACCAACCUGCCCUUCAGUGGGGGAUAACAACGGGAAACCGUUGCUAAUACCGCGUACGAUUUCCGAGUGGCAUCGCUUGGAAAUGAAAGGUGGCCUCUAUUUAUAAGCUAUCGCUGAAGGAGGGGGUUGCGUCUGAUUAGCUAGUUGGAGGGGUAACGGCCCACCAAGGCAAUGAUCAGUAGCCGGUCUGAGAGGAUGAACGGCCACAUUGGGACUGANACACNGCCCAAACUCCUACGGGAGGCAGCNNNGGGGGAANUCUUCCNCAAUGGGGCGAAAGCCUGACGAAC